UACAGGGGGGGCAAGCGUUGUUCGGAAUUACUGGGCGUAAAGGGUUCGUAGGUGGCCAACUAAGUCAGACGUGAAAUCCCUCAGCUUAACUGGGGAACUGCCUCUGAUACUGGUUGGCUUGAGUGCAGGAGAGGAAUGCGGAAUUCCAGGUGUAGCGGUGAAAUGCGUAGAUAUCUGGAGGAACACCGGUGGCGAAGGCGGCAUUCUGGACUGUAACUGACACUGAGGAACGAAAGCCAGGGGAGCAAACGGGAUUAGAUACCCCGGUAGUCCUGGCCCUAAACGAUGAAUGCUUGGUGUGGCGGGUAUCGAUCCCUGCCGUGCCGAAGUUAACGCGAUAAGCAUUCCGCCUGGGGAGUACGGUCGCAAGGCUG
rnacentral:rRNA from 1 species